rnacentral:rRNA from 1 species
GAUGAACGCUGGCGGCGUGCUUAACACAUGCAAGUCGAACGGUGAACGAGGGAGCUUGCUCCCUCCGGAUCAGUGGCGAACGGGUGAGUAACACGUGAGUAACCUGCCCCAGACUCUGGGAUAAGCGUUGGAAACGACGUCUAAUACCGGAUACGAGACGAGAAGGCAUCUUCAUCGUCUGGAAAGAAUUUCGGUCUGGGAUGGACUCGCGGCCUAUCAGGUAGUUGGUGAGGUAACGGCCCACCAAGCCUACGACGGGUAGCCGGCCUGAGAGGGUGACCGGCCACACUGGGACUGAGACACGGCCCAGACUCCUACGGGAGGCAGCAGUGGGGAAUAUUGCACAAUGGGCGCAAGCCUGAUGCAGCAACGCCGCGUGAGGGACGACGGCCUUCGGGUUGUAAACCUCUUUUAGCAGGGAAGAAGCGAAAGUGACGGUACCUGCAGAAAAAGCACCGGCUAACUACGUGCCAGCCGCCGCCGGUAACAC